GGAGCGUCCGCGGCCCGCGCGCCCGCGCGGCGGAGGAGAGGUGUUAAGUGUGAUGCUUCCAUAAUACAUUUGGAUGCUGUCAGCUAAGUUCACUUCUGAACUAAGGGGUUCCUCCAAAUGUUGGCUGAAAUUCAUCCCAAGGCUGGUCUGCAAAGUCUGCAAUUCAUAAUGGAGCUACUGUACUGGCUAUUGGAAGGAGGAGAUUCUGAAGAUAAGGAGGUAAUAUUAUCUCUUUUAAAAGAAUACUUUCCUCUGUAAUCCUGAAUCUUUAUUACAUGUAAGAACUUUGUGCAGUAGACAGCAAUUUCUUUGAAUUUGGUAUAUGGAAACAAUUUUAUUUUCCUCUGCUAAGUUUUUGAGCCUGCCUCUUCUAGUGCCAUGGACUGCAUUGGUAGAGCUGAGAAAUAUCAUUUAGCCAUACUCAGCACCCUUAAAAUAGCUUCUUUCUGAGAAUUAGAUCUGUGAAGGUGUCCUGCACAGUUCUUGUAGAUGUCAUUUUAGUUUGUGGUUGACGUGCAUGCAUUUAGCAUGUUGCUUAACCGUCCUCAUUCGCCUCCCAGUUCUUUGUUGCCUUCAUUUGGGGGGAUGUGUUUUCUGCUGGAUGAUUUACUGCUAGACAUGACCAAACUCUGAGUAUAAGACUUGGUGUUUGGCAGCUGGUUCCAGUGCUCUGCUGAGAAGUAGUUGGGCCCAGCCUGGGGCAUUGUAGUGUCCUGGAGGCCGGGAGCUCCUGCACAGGGGUUCUUUUCCUGGUUCAGAGCCUUAGGUGCCUUUCCACUUUUCACGUAAUCUUUUCCUAGGUUGGCUUGCUGCUUACUUUGCAGCUGUUGCAGGGAUUCACAUGGAAUGGAGGGCUCCCUUUUAUUGUGGAUUAUUUCUUUGAUAAUUUACCCAUGUGCUUUUUCAUUUUCAAAAACCCAGUGGUGUUUAAGAAUGAAAGAUUCUUGAAGAACAAAAAUUGGGUUAAAUUUGUAUCUAUCAGAAAAGAUUCUAUCCUCUGAUGCUAUGUAGGCACAUUGAAUAUGCAGGCUAAAUUAAAAACAGAGUAAAACCUUUUUAUAAUAUGCCAAUUACUAUAUCUAAGAAUGUUUAUACAGGCUGAAAUUUUGUAAUGGUAUUUAUAUCUGUUUUCCUUUUUAAGGAAAAUAAUAUACUUUUCUAGGCAUCAAAAAUAUCUGCCCCUUUCACUAAUGCUGAUGUACCACCUUCCCCCAACCCCCAACGCUAAAUUUGACUGGCUUAAAAACAUCUGCCCCCUGAACUAUAUCUGGGGAGGAAUAUUAAUAAAACAAUGAAGGACUUCAUGGUGUCUAGUUAUAUAAUUAGGAAAUUGGUUAGAAACGUGGCUAAAACCAGUUUCUUUCAUUAAAAGAACUAGUGUACAUUUAAAAACAAAAACCUUCAGGAAAAAGACUCUUUGAUCUUUAAGUCAAAUAGUAUUUUUGGUUAACACAGCAGGAAGGGGAAAUAUACCAAUUUCAGAUUCUUUUAUUUAUGCCUAAGUAGAGGUUGUAAGCAGCUAAGGAAGUGAUUAAAAUGUAGUCUAGUAAAAAAUGGUGCUGAUUACUUGGAAAGCAGUUUACAUUUGCAAAAAAAUUCAGUAUUAUGACCUUCACCAACUUUUACACAUCAUAUACUUGGGUUAUUACUUAUGGUAUAGCUUGUGUAUGGAAUGCAAGGGUAUUUUCAAAUUGACUAGGUCUUGCUGGUCAUCUUAAAAUAUGUUACAAUAUUACAAAAUUGAAAUGUAAUAUUUUUUAAUAGAAGGAAAAUAUAAAUUUAAUAUCUGGGCAAUUGAGACCUUUAAACUUACUUUAAAAGUAUGAUCUUGAUGUAUAUGAUACUGUUUUGUCUUUGCUAUAUUAACAGAAUUAGAGGGGUGUUCUGCAAUUCAAAUACCUUAUAUAUUCCAAAUUUUAUUCUCUAUAAUGGACUUUUAAAAUAAAAGGUAUAUGUGCUUCAAGAGGGCAAAAUUUGAAUCAUGAGCUAAUUUGCUAAGCAUCAGAUUAUAGAAAAGCAUCCUUGAUUAAUUUGGAACUGUGAAAGGGGGCGGGUAAAACUGUUUUCUGCAGAAAUUUACUAGUGCAGCAACCAUUUAAAUUAAAUGUUUGUUAACAUAAUAGUGAUGGCAUUUUCUCCUCCCCCUCCUUGUGGUUUUGUCCAACUAGAUGUUACAGUGGCAGUUGCACUGACUGUUAAGUGUUUAAAUGAUGACACCAUUAUGUGAAGUGAUUUUGAAAUGAGAGAUUCCAGCCAAGAAUUACAUCUGCUCCCAUCUCCUUCAAAUCAUACUCUCUGGCAGUACAGAUUAUGAUUGAUUUGUUUGUGACAGAUUGCAGGAAACAGUCAUUGAUUUUUCAAUAUUUUACCUUAAAAUUAUUUACAGUUGUAACCAUGGGGAGGUAUUUUCAUGGGCUGUCAGCCCCUGAAAGACUAGGAUAAUAUUCCCUGCUCUCUGACAAGACAAAUUACCUGUAAUGAGUGCAGUAGCUGAAGGGUAUACUUUUAUUUUAAAAUAUGUCAAUAACCCCAGUGACUAAACGAAUAUUGAUUUAGCAUAAUGAAGCCUGAGUAACGUGAAAAUGAGCUUUUUCAAGGGGCAUGGUAAAGUCUUUCUUUUUAGCUGGUUGUAAGAAGCUUUUGAUUCUUUUCAGCCAGCUGGUAGGAAUAUAGAAUUUUAUAAGCAAACCAUCAGGAAUGAUAGUGUUGUUUCUGAUAAGCAACAUCCAAAUAUUUUGACCCUGCUUUUAGUGGUUUUUUUCAAAUCUUAUUUUGAGUCUUACUUUUAGUCAUAGAAUAGCUACUGAUUUGAUGCGGUCUUUAACUGACUUAAUAUUUUUACAAUUUCAAUAUAUUUUGCAUUGGAAUCUCCAGUAAUGAAUAUUAAAAUAUAUGUACAAUCAUUUGUAGAUGAUAUCAAUUAUAUUAAGACAUUUCAGAUGGGCUAUUGUAGUAUUUAAUGUGCCGUAUUUUAUGGUAGAAUAAUUCUCAGUCUCUGGACAUCAAGAUUGCUUUCAGUGGGAAUGAAGAUUAAUUUACUUCAGUCCUGAUUUUUUAGGCAUCAAUGCAUGUUUUCAUUUUUGUCAGACUUUUACCCUCUUUUAAUGUAAUUCUCAACUUCUUAUGGAUUUACUUCCCAAUACAUAAAAUCCUUCAAAACAAGAAUGAUAAUAAUUUUUAUACUUUUUAUAAAAAUAAAUUUAUUUUUAGUCCAUCAAGGUGUCUGAAGAUUUUAUGCCUAGGUAUCUCCAUAUCUAACUUGAUAAGGAAAAUAGGAUAAACAAUGCUGGUAAUAGCAGGAAAGUAAGUAUUUGAAUAAGAUGUCAAACUGAUAUUUCAUGUGAACCUAACUCAUUUUAUGGUAACUAAUAAUUAUCUUAUUUAAAUCAAUAGGUAAAACCUGUUUAGAAAUUAAAAAUGAGUUACGAUUUAAAGAAAAUUCAGAUGACUCAUUGUGAGUGCUAGUUCUCUUGUAGGAUGCCACUGGAAAUGUUGAAAUGAAAAAUGUAAGUAUAUCUUUUGGUGGAAAAAAGGAUAGUCUCUAGGACACAAAAUUACUGUUUUAUUUUUUUCUCAGGAGUUUGCCUAAGGGUGUGACAGAUGAUCUCUGUCACUUGUCUUAGUUGUGUCCUGCAAUAAACUGGAUGCUUUAUAAAAUACUAGACCUGUGAUUUCGUAUGCUGUAAUAUUUCAUUUCUCCAUCACCCCUCCAAAUUAUUUCUUAGUUUGGAGUAAAAUAAUAAAUGUAUUAUAGUCAACAUCUCUUGACCCCUCUUUAGUUUCAGCUAAACUAAGCAUGUGUGUUUGUGUGUUCAUUUUAUAGUUCAUGUGUAGAACUAUGUGAAUUAAAUUUAAGAAACAUGUAAAGUAGAGGAAAUAGUUUUCUGGAGAAAUUUUUCCUUUUUGGAUAUUAUGCCCUUUUCCAUUGCUUUUCUCUGCUUGAAAGCAAAAAAAAGUACCCUACCCCUGUUCUCCUUUAGGGAAAAACUAUUCCUAUAAAGUAUUUUUAAAUCGUGCAAGUCAUUGCCUAGGGUUAGCUAAAACAUUUCUUUUUAAAAAGGAGAAAAUGCCCUGGCUUUAACAUUUUCUUGUAUUUGUAUCUAUUAAGAUAAACAGUUUACUUUGAUACAGUACAUACCAAUCUACUUAAUUUUUUUUCCAGGAUUCCUUUUACUAUGUUUGGUCUGACCUUUUAUGAUAACUUAAUAUGGGAACAAAUUAGCAUAUAAUUCUAUUUUCCAUGUGACCUCAACCAGUUGCAGAAUUGUACCACUACUUUAGGGGGGGCAAUUUGACAGUUUAUGUAGACUAUAGCAUUAAUUGUUCCCAAAUGUUCAGUGCAUCCUGGCUAAUGUGUUAUUGAAGGUGUUUUCACGUAAGCAGUUAGAGGAAGCACUUCACCCCUAUUACUAAGUUAUUAAAAUGCCUCCUAAAGGUAGCAUUUUAAAUUAGUAUACAUAAUUGAUUAGUAAUUUGUCUUCUCCCAAGCAUAAAACAGCAUAGCAGAGUUAAGUGUGACCAGUGAAGUAUAAGAUAUUAGGGAU
rnacentral:lncRNA from 1 species